AUUGAACGCUGGCGGCAUGCUUUACACAUGCCAGUCGAACGGCAGCGCGGGCUUCGGCCUGGCGGCGAGUGGCGAACGGGUGAGUAAUGCAUCGGAACGUGCCCAGUAGUGGGGGAUAGCCCGGCGAAAGCCGGAUUAAUACCGCAUACGACCUGAGGGUGAAAGCGGGGGACCGAAAGGCCUCGCGCUAUUGGAGCGGCCGAUGUCGGAUUAGCUAGUUGGUUGGGUAAAGGCUUACCAAGGCGACGAUCCGUAGCUGGUCUGAGAGGACGACCAGCCACACUGGGACUGAGACACGGCCCAGACUCCUACGGGAGGCAGCAGUGGGGAAUUUUGGACAAUGGGGGCAACCCUGAUCCAGCCAUGCCGCGUGCGGGAAGAAGGCCUUCGGGUUGUAAACCGCUUUUGUUCGGGAAGAAAUCCUCUGGGCUAAUACCCCGGGGGGAUGACGGUACCGGAAGAAUAAGCACCGGCUAACUACGUG
rnacentral:rRNA from 1 species